rnacentral:rRNA from 1 species
GCAUAUCAAUAAGCGGAGGAAAAGAAACCAACAGGGAUUGCCCUAGUAACGGCGAGUGAAGCGGCAACAGCUCAAAUUUGAAAUCUGGCCCCAGGCCCGAGUUGUACUUUGCAGAGGAUGCUUCGGGCGCGGCGCCUUCCAAGUCCCCUGGAACGGGGCGCCUUAGAGGGUGAGAGCCCCGUACGGUUGGAUGCCUAGCCUGUGUGAAGCUCCUUCGACGAGUCGAGUAGUUUGGGAAUGCUGCUCAAAAUGGGAGGUAGACCCCUUCUAAAGCUAAAUACCGGCCAGAGACCGAUAGCGCACAAGUAGAGUGAUCGAAAGAUGAAAAGCACUUUGAAAAGAGGGUCAAAAGCACGUGAAAUUGUUGAAGGGGAAGCGCUUGUGACCAGACUUGCGCCGGGGCGAUCAUCUGGCGUUCUCGCCGGUGCACUCGCCCCGGCUCAGGCCAGCGUCGGUUCGGGGGGGAGGACAAAGGCGCCGGGGACGUGGCUCCCCCGGGAGUGUUAUAGCCCGGCGCGUCAUGCCCCCUCCCGGACCGAGGUUCGCGCUCUGCAAGGACGCUGGCAUAAUGGUCACCAGCGGCCCGUCUUGAAACACGGACCAAGGAGUCGAGGUUCUGCGCGAGUGUUUGGGUGUCAAACCCGCACGCGUAAUGAAAGUGAACGUAGGUGAGAGCUUCGGCGCACCACCGACCGAUCCUGAUGUUCUCGGAUGGAUUUGAGUAAGAGCGUUGGGCCUCGGACCCGAAAGAUGGUGAACUAUGCUUGGAUAGGGUGAAGCCAGAGGAAACUCUGGUGGAGGCUCGCAGCGGUUCUGACGUGCAAAUCGAUUCGUCAAAUCUGAGCAUGGGGGGCGAAAGACUAAUCGAACCAUCUAGUAGCUGGUUACCGCCGAAG